GAGGGUCACGGCCGAUGCGCGUCACGAUCCAACCACACAACGAGCCAAAGGAUGCGCCAUGGAUUCACUGUCCGGUUUGUCAGUCUGGGUUCAUAAGGUGUUUGUUCUUCUCCAAUGCGUUUUGUUGAUGCCUCAUGUGAUUCAACAUGUAUUUUUUUUUGUUCCUAUUGAUUACAGAGUAUAGUAAUGCAUCUUCAGUUAUCAAGGGUGUGGCAUAUCUUGGCAGAUUAGUGGGGAGUGAGGUAUAUCCUCCUUUUCUAUUUAAUUUUUGCAUCUUUAUGUAAUUAUGUUGUUCCUGGAAACUUUUCUAUUUAAUUUUUUGCAUCUUUAUGUAAUUAUGUUGUUCCUGGAAACAUUUAUUUGGGACAGCUGCAUCAUAGAAAAGUUACAUGUUGGUUAGUUCCGGAUGUGCCAUGAAUUAUAUUGUCCUUGAACCUUCUUAAUUCAGCUGUUUCCGCACUUGAUUUUGUUAGUUUUGCAGCUGUAAAGUGCGUGUAGGUUUUUUAAGCAGCGACGAUCUGGGUAUUAUAAUGAUUUGAUUGGAUUUGGUAGGUGUGCGUGUGUGGUGUACAGUCCAGUCGCGGAUUAGAGCCUGUUGAAUUCAGUUGCUCCAGUGCUUGCUGUUACACUCGACUUCCUAUUGUUAGUUAUUACCCACUUGAUGGGGAUCACUGAGCUGCGGGUUGGAACUGAAUCAGUUCAUGUCCUGAGCCUUUUAUAGCUUAGUUCUUGGUGUCCCUGGAGCGAUGGUGGCGGGGAAUCCCACUGGUUUCUGGUUGUGGAUGUUCCCUUAUUUUUUCUAUUGCGAUUUGUCAAGUAUCCUACUUAUUAUCAUCCGCCUUAUGGCUAGAAUGCUUGCAGCCAUUUGGUGGUUACAGUUGUCAGCCUUCUUUUACUCGGCUUGUCGCUCACAACUGGCAGAUUUAUAUAUUGUUGGUGAUACAAAUAUUUAGCACCUAAUUACACAUUUUUUGUGGCAGGACAUAUUGAUGGACAAUUCUUAUGAUGGUAUAGCUGUAUAUGAAGUUCCAUAUACAUGGAUCCCCACUCAUCUGGUAAGAUUCCAAGUCAGACUAAUGUGGAAGCAAUUUCUAUUAAAAAAAUCUUGACCGCCAGACUAUUAUCCAAGCAUCUUUUGACACGAGGUUGAGUCUUAAAUGUUGGACACUUGAUAAUUUGUCCAGGUUGAGAUUCACCACUGAUGACACGAGUCUGCUACCCUGCUCCUGUGAAGGUAGCCGAAGGCCUGCAGCUCCCACCGUGAUAUCCUCUCUCGGCUUUCGCCUCUUCAUGUGAGCUCAUCCUCCCAAUUUGUUCUUACCACAGUUUGGGUUGUUUGAUUCAGGUUUUUUUCUAAAAUUAAAUUAUGUCUCAAGGACUGAGAUGUAAAUGUUGUUCAGGCCCUAUGAGAAGGUGAACCACUCUAUCAAAGGCGAUGAACUCAUCCAAUUUGUACCUCCAAAAAACUUACUUCCUAUGUGUUCUUGGGAUCAAGUAAUCUGAUGUUCGUUUACUAAAUUCUGGUAUGUUUUCCUGUCAGCCAACAAGAAUCGUUUCCAUUUUUCUGCACUGUAUUGGGAACAGUUUUAUCAUCCGAGGAUACAUCCAAAGUACAAGUUGUGCUAUUCGUUAUCUUCUCUUUUUAUUCUGGAUGCACCUUUCUGAUAUUCUUUUUUAUUCCUAUUUGUUGCAUACCUUAUUUAUUAGAAGGUCUAAUUGCAAGUAUUUUCAAGGUCUAAUUGUUACGCAAGAUUUUCUUUGCAGUGUGCAUGAAUUUCAUAGAAUAGUUUUAUUCCAAGUACAGAAGAAAUUGAAUCUGUCUUGCAUGACCUAUGUUUUUAUCUAUGAAUGACCUUAGUUGAAUAUGUGUUGAAUUGUUCAAAUUUGUUGUCCUUUUGUAUCUUCCAGUCUUGUCAUACAUUGUAUCCUCCUUUUUCAUGACCCAAAAAUAGCUGAGAAAGCAUGACAUGCCAUAAUUUGUUUUCCAUCCUAGGCUCAUUUCCAGGCCUGCUAUUAUUCUAUUUGUCCUUAUUAAACAGUAUCCUUUUUGAGUGCUCUCCUCUCCUUAAUCAACUACCUGUUGAGGAUGUUUAAAAAAGACACCGCCAAUAGCAGAUCACUCUAUUACUGCAAUUGCAUGCAGGUACAAAAUCAAUGCUACCUUUGGGGUCUCCUCCUAUAGCCUUUCCUGUAAUCAUAAGAGCUACGAAGAGACGCGGUUGGCUUUAGUUUUGUAUGAUUUGAUGUAUUUAUAUUUAUCCAAUGAAAAAGCACUUUGCUUGCUUUUGUAGCUAAGAAAACUCUCUGUUCGUCCAUAUAUUGUUUAAAUGAAGCACUAAAAACUGUUUGAGAUAGCAAUCAUCG
rnacentral:lncRNA from 1 species